rnacentral:ncRNA from 1 species
AAUAGCCCACAUGCUAGUUCAGGAACAACUUCAGUCUGACCAUUUACAACCUAUUCUCAGUCCUUGGAACACACCCAUCUUUGUAAUUAAGAAAACAUCAGGCAACUGGAGGUUGUUAUAAGAUCUCAGGACAAGUAAUAGUGUUAUUGAGCCCAUGGGAGCCUUAUAACCAGGGCUUCUUUCUCCUGAAGGUAUCCCUUUGGAUUAUCAUUUAAUAGUAAUAGAUUUAAAAGAUUGUUUCUUUUCUAUACCUUUGCACUCAGACAACUGUGAAAGGUUUGCCUUCAA